rnacentral:lncRNA from 1 species
AAAAAUCCAUCUCUGAAGUAACUCCCAUUAAACUUUGAACUAGAAAUAGAUACGGCUGGGUGGAGCCCAGAGAGCUCUUCACCCUCAUAGGAGCUUUUGAAUAUUUGAGGAUCGUAAAAGAAGUGGACUCCUCGGGCACAGGAGUUAUGCUGUAACCAGCACUUUCAUAUAACCACCAUCCGCAGGUUAAUCCUCCUCUCCCAACGCACACCUACUCCUGCAAGCCGUUCGUUUACACCGGUUGCCUCUUUGCUAAUAAGCUUUGAAAAGCAAGUUCGUUAGUGCGGUGGCUGCCAGGCUGUGCUUUAAUGAGCCUUUCUCAAUGCCUCCUAUCUUAUCUUGAGCACGAUAAGUACAAAACGUUCCCCUGACAUUGCUAUAAAUCACAUUUUAUUGAUGCAUCUCAAUACGGGCUGGCUGCUGCAGUUUGGUGUCUGUUUGCCUUGGAAGCAGCAGUGCUGUACAAAUACAGCUCGGUGAGGCUCUCUGGUGACACGGGGAAAGAUUUUUCUUGAGGUGCUCGGAGGCUUUAGCAUGCAGUCGGAAGAGGAGGACGUUGCCAGCUGCCUUCCACAUCAAUCGUUUCUGGAAGGGUGCGAGGUUAUUGCUAAUUCCAGGCAUUAAUUUUGUGUGAAGUGAGGACUUCCUCCCCUCAUCCUGCACUAGGCAAAAACUCCUGGGCUGCCUGCAACAGGUAAGCCCACGCCUGGGUUCAGAAGCCAGCCCUUCCACCACCCCUACAAACACAAGAGCUGCAAGUUGCAUCAUCUGCAGCACAUCCAACAAUCCCUUUUCCAGACCUGCUUCGUCAUCCACCUGGAAGGUUCCACAUUUAUUUUUUCCAUCCAUGUUCUUGCUUUUUUCUUUUUUUUUUUUUUGCUCCUGGUGCAGGUAAACAAGGAAGCGCAUCGGUCUGUUAUAACUGCACGCACGGCUGUUUGUACACCCCAGACAGGUGUUUGCUCAACUGUGUUGUGCAAUAAGUGAUGUGUGUGACAAUAGCCUACAGAAACAGUGCUGUAAGUUGAGUGUUGACAAUUUCUUUUAAGAGAAUGUUUCCCUCUUCCCUGAAAUAUGUCUGGCUAUACUAUACCUGGCUAUUUCCUGCUCACAAAUGAGGACAGACCUCAGCUCACUGUAUGAGACACAUUUGCAACAGAAAGCAAGAUGGAACAACCCAGGGAAUUUUAUUUUUCUGCUUCCUGACCAGCCCAGAGCCUUUAUUUGACUGAUUUUUGUGGUCCAACAACAUGUAAUCAACAGAGACAGCAACUUUAAAUGUCUGUUUUAAUGGAGCUGUAAUUGUGCAGGUGCUCAGCAGCGCUAAUUCCACAGCUUGCAGGGUGGAAGAGGGCAGCUGCUACCCUGUGCUGAAGAAAAAUGAUGAAACCUGGGUAUAACCACGUCUAACUGGGUAUAACGGGGUGCCUUAUGCAAGGACGGAGGAAUUUGCAGUGGGACAUUGCCAGGUUUAUGGUUUGGUGUCUGCGUGUGCUUCCUCCUGCAGCUCCUGUACU